GCCCAUGGUGGGCGGUGCGUGGGGAUCCUCGCGAUCCGUCGGCUUUUUCGCUUGGAUUUUGACCGGCACGCCAACCCGCACCGCCCGCCACCUUG
rfam:Bacterium AM6 strain AM6 2017-02-03-Sterotrophomonas_trimmed_contig_173, whole genome shotgun sequence.